rnacentral:rRNA from 1 species
GGUGAUAUGAACCGAUAUAACCGGCGAUUACCGAAUGGGGAAACCUAGUGUGUUUCGACACAAUAUCAUUAAAUGAAUCAAUAGGUUAAUGAGGGGAACCGGGGGAACUGAAACAUCUAAGAACCCCGAGGAAAAGAAAUCAACCGAGAUUGACCCAGAAGCGGCGAGCGAAAGGGGAGGAGCCCAGAGCCUGAAUCAGCGUGUGUGGUGGCUCUUAUACACAUCU